GCUUGCUUGGCACAGCGGUAAUGCGCCUCACUAGUAUACUAAGAAUGACAAUGAGGAGAUGACUGGUUCGACUCCAGUAGUGAGCA